rnacentral:rRNA from 1 species
UACGUAGGGGGCAAGCGUUGUCCGGAUUUACUGGGUGUAAAGGGAGCGUAGACGGCAUGGCAAGCCAGAUGUGAAAGCCCGGGGCUCAACCCCGGGACUGCAUUUGGAACUGUCAGGCUAGAGUGUCGGAGAGGAAAGCGGAAUUCCUAGUGUAGCGGUGAAAUGCGUAGAUAUUAGGAGGAACACCAGUGGCGAAGGCGGCUUUCUGGACGAUGACUGACGUUGAGGCUCGAAAGCGUGGGGAGCAAACAGG